UUUAUUACAAGAAAUCGAUUAACUUAUUCAAACAACUUGGUUUUGUUAACCUUGAUAACAUCAAUUACAAUACAAGAAACCAGGGCCGCCAAGAGGGAGGGGCAAUUGAAGUAGUUUGCCCCGGGCAUCACAGUCUAUGGGGCAUCACAUAUGCCUUUAAAAAUUAUUGUAAUAACAAAAAAUUUAGACGAUAACAUAUUUAAAGCUUAAGCAAACUUUGUGUAAUAAUUUUGUUCUCCUUUAAAACUUUGUUUAUAUUUAAAAUAGGAUAAUUAUUACUUUCAAGGUUUUCAUUUUCCAUUUGAACACACGCGUUUUCGUUGCCCUUUUGCUUGCAUAAUAAAAUAUAAAAUUUUCUUAUUUAACGGCAAAAAAAAAAAAUAACGUUAAAAGUUCUUUUAGAGAUAAAACAAAGCGAUAGAAAGUAAUUUUAUAAUGCAUUCUUGAUGUCACAAUUUUUCUAACUUAAUAAAAUUUAGCGUUUAGGAUUAAGAAUAUUGUUUUUGAAUUUUAAAUUAUAUUUUGUAUUAUUUUAUUUAUAAUUUAAAAAUCAAAAUUAUAAUUUAUAAUUGGAUAUAAAUAUGGAUUACUAUUUUGAUAAUUUUUUGUUUGCAAUUAGGAUCCAAUCAAAAAGUGUUUAAGAAUGAAAUUUCUUAGAGAUUAUAGCUAAGCACCAAGAAAAAGAAAAGCGUAGCAAGUUUAUUACUUGUCCUGAAAUUUUCAGAAUGAGUUUAUCGAGUAUGGUUUUAGAAGUGAUAAUCAUCUGUGGGAGGUCAAAGAAAGGUUCUUUAAACUGGAAAAACUUAAAAAGAAGAAAUUAUCUGAUAUAACAAAGUUGAUAUUGAAUGAGUUGGAAGAGAUUGAGUUCGACACAAAAAAUUGUCGUAGUCAAGGCUAAUGUCUUCAAUGUCGCACUCGGCAAUCUGACUAUUCAAAUGAAAUCAAGAUUUAAAGUAAUACAAGUGGAAUGUAACAAGUUUUCCUUCCUUUAGUCUUCACAGAAAUCUCAAACAGACAAAGAACUAGGUUUAAAAGCUGAGAAUCUCGCAAAACAUCACCCAUAAGACUUAUGUAAAAACGAAUUUUCUGAUGAAGUUUUGUUUUUUUUUUUCUGUAAGAAGAAUUAUUCUAGGCAGCAAAAAGCCUGCCGAACAUCUAAAUGAAGUUUAUGCAAAGGGAUUGCAUUCAAUAUUUUCA